CAAAAUAAUAAUUUAUUACAAAUAAAAUACUAAUAUGAUAAACAGUUCACGAGAGGAGUUUACAUCGAUCAUUACGAUGUUAUUAUUUUCAUACACAAUGGCAAAGAUGUCCCGGCAAAACAGAAACGAAUUAAAAUUGAAAAUUAUUUGGAGGCUUAGAGAAAAAUGAAAAACAUUGAGGUAUGACAAUGGAAAGAGUAUUUGUUAAGGGUAUUAAAAGCCUUCCAAUAGAUACAACAUUUAUUGUCUAAGCUGCAGUUGAAAAUGCAGUUAUUUUCCAAGACUAGUCAAAUUAUGAUACACUCAUGUUGGUUUUCAGAAGUAUCGACUAUCGAGUAUGGACGAUGAAUAUGAUUCAAGUAUAACAACAGAGAUGCCUCAUUGACAAUAAUCAAGAAUAAAGAAACGAACUGGUUGCAUUUGAUUUCAACAUCAGUUUAAAAUUAAAUAGGCCAAUUAAGCAAACAUUUUUAAUUAAUUUUGUGCUAUUUCAUUUUUGUUUAGAUAUUUUUAGUUAUUUUUGUUUGUAUUAAAACUCCAGUUUUAUGAUUUAAUCAAUGGAAUCAAUGAAAAUGAUUCUUAAGUAUAAUUAAACCAAAAACAAAUGUUAAUUAAUGUUUAAGUUUAAAUUAUGAAAAUAACAGAUUACAAUAUAAUAAUAACUUAUUCUGUUAUAAAUUAAAAAAAAACUGCUUCACCAUAAAUAUUUUCUUUUAUAUAAUUUAAACAUAUGAUAUUUUAACUUAGGUUAAAAUCUCUGUGAUUUUGUUUUUCCCAAAACAAUUUUUAAAAACAAUUGAUGAAUGUAAAACAUUCUCUUAAGGAUUUUAUUUUCUGAGUAUUUUUUGGUGCUUGCAAUUAUUAAGUAAUAAUUAAUAAUCAAUAUAUUGGAUAAUGAAGGUAUAAUUUAUAUGAUAAUAUUGUAUUAUGGUACAUAUUGUGAUUUAAUAUUGUAUAAAUAAAAUGUUUUUGUAUAAAAAGUGUAACAGAUAAAUAAAUAGAUACAUAUAUUAUAUUUUUAGGAAAAAUACUAGACAAUAUUCUCUAUUUAAUGAAGAAAUAAUACUUUAUCUUUUAGACAUAUAAAUAAUAAAUUGAAAUAAUAGAUAAAAUACUUAAAAUACCUUUAAGUAUUAGUUGUUACAAGUUCAUAAUAAGUUAGGAAACACAAAAAUAUUUCAUGAACAUUUUUAACUUUAAAACCAUGAUUGAAUAAAUAGAUAAUUUGUCAGUUUAAACUUAAAAGUAAGCUUAUUUGUUGUUUUAAAUUAUUUAGAUAUCCUUUUCAAAUUAUAUUAUAAUUAAAAUAAGGUAUGAUUACAUUUUGUGAAUGCCUUGCUAAAAAAAAAAGUAUAAUGGUUUUUUCCCCCCCAUUAAAUGUAAUACCCGCAUGUGUUGUCUUUAUCUUACUAAUGUAUAUAAUAACAAAUAUGCGUUCAGCGAAACACAUUUUGUAAUGUUAGCUUUAAUAUUAGAGUAAAUUUACCUAUUAUUAAAUUUAAAGGUAAGAAUAUUAUCAAUAAAAGUAUAUGUCAUUAUUUAGAUAAUAUUUAUGCAUACUUGUUAGUAUAUACGUUAUUAAGAUAGAGACAACACAUUUGGGUAUGGCGUCCUCUUAAGUAUAAAUUGUUAAAAGUAUUAAUAUACAUAUAUUAGAGGUCUCGAUUGAAAAUGUAAAUCAAUGCAUCAGUGAACAUGGAGUUUGUGUACACACGACUGAAAAUUUUUAUUCCUAUAAACCUACAACACAUGUGAAUUCAAGUGUUUCAGUAUUGUUCACAUAUUUUAGUUUAUGCAACAUGUAUUAAUAUUUAUAUUAAAUUUAAUGUAGAUUUUGUACAAUUAAAAUUUAUUUUAUUUAUGUUAUUUCAUGUGAAUACAAGAAAUAGGAAAAGGAAACUAAUAUAUUAUAUUAUAUUACUAGCAAAAUUAUGUCAUUUAAUUUGGAAAAAAAAGGAUUUAUAUAUAAAUCUUACCUAAAACCCUUAGGUAAAGAUUAAAAUCAUAAUUUGGUUAACCUCCAAAAAAUCUUAAAUAAGUUAAAAACUAUCAAUAUAUUUUUGUAUUAUUAUUUGUUUACUCAUAUAAAUCAAAUAUUAAUUAGACUUUAAAAUUAAAACUUGUUUUGUAAAUUUUAUUUUAUAAGUUUAAAUACUUGAAAGAGUUUUAAAAAGAAUACUAUUAUUUUAAAUUAGUUAUGUAAAAUAAAUUAAACAAUUUUACCUUAUGGUGAGAUUGACAAUGCUAUAAGCCUAUAAAUGUAACAAUUGGUGUGUACUGUGUAAUAAUGGUAUAUUAUAUUAUAUUUAUAUGUAUUAUAAUUUAUUUUAUAAAAAUGUCAGUGAGUUAGACCCAUUAGUCAUAUAACAAU